rnacentral:rRNA from 1 species
GACGAACGCUGGCGGCGUGCUUAACACAUGCAAGUCGAACGAUGACGACCGAGCUUGCUCGGUCUGAUUAGUGGCGAACGGGUGAGUAACACGUGAGCAACCUGCCCUUCACUCUGGUAUAACCUCGGGAAAUCGGGGCUAAUACCGGAUAUGAGCUCCUGUCGCAUGGCGGGUGUUGGAAAGUUUUUCGGUGAAGGAUUGGCUCGCGGCCUAUCAGUUUUUUGGUGUGGUAGUGGCUUACCAAGGCGAUGACGGGUAGCCUGCCUGAGAGGGAGACCGGCAACACGGGGACUGAGACACGGCCCAGACUACUACGGGAGGCAGCAGUGGGGAAUAUUGCACAAUGGGCGAAAGCCUGAUGCAGCGACGCCGCGUGAGGGAUGACGGCCUUCGGGUUGUAAACCUCUUUCAGCAGGGAAGAAGCGAAAGUGACGGUACCUGCAGAAGAAGAGCCGGCUAACUACGUG